CACGUAUGUAUGAUUAUCCGAAUCCUUCAUGGAACCAACCAGACCAGACAAUUGACAAAUGUAUGCAGUUCUGUAAAAAGCGGAGUUAUAUUUACAGCGGAUUAGAGUUUAAGACGCAUUGCUUCUGUGGCAGUGAUGACCCAAGAAAGAUUUCAGGUUAUUUCAAGCGAAGUGAAUAUGAUUGUACUCUGCCUUGUGGUGGACAAAGUCGAGAAUCAUGCGGGGGACCAUGGCGGUUAUCAAUUUAUAAAGAUUGCAGCGUUUUACAACCUUAUCUACCACAUUGUGCUGACAUCGACUGUACUACAAGCAUUAACAAAUGGUGUGUCAGAU